GACGUAGGGUGCGAGCGUUGUCCGGAGUUAUUGGGCGUAAAGGGCGCGUAGGCGAUUCGAUGAGUCUUAUGUGAAAGCCCAGAGCUUAACUCUGGAAGUGCACGAGAUACUGUCGAAUUUGAGUUCAGGAGAGGAAGGCAGAAUUCCCGGUGUAGCGGUGAAAUGCGUAGAUAUCGGGAGGAAUACCAGUGGCGAAGGCGGCCUUCUGGACUGACACUGACGCUGAGGCGCGAAAGCCAGGGGAGCAAACGGG
rnacentral:rRNA from 1 species